UGUAAACUCUGCUGACGGACUCUAAGGUGACUCUUAUUUUCCUGUAAUCGUUUCUGACAGCCGAGGAUUCUGGUCAUUUACUGAAUAAAUCUGUUUUUCUUCUUCCUCAGCGGUCGGCCUGAAUAGAGUCCGCUCAUUGGAUGGAGGAUAAUCCUGCAUGCUCAUCCAUCCUUUGACUCCGCCCACCUCCGUCCACCAGAACGACCUGCUGACUCCGGAGCAGGAGCGUCUGUGACUCAGGUUUGAAUGUUUUUAUCAGCUCGGCUCCUCGGAGACGAAAACAUCCUUUCAUUGGAACAAAGAGCAGAGAGGUCUGGUUAUACAAGCCGGCGCCGCCCCGCCCCCCACCACCACCAC